rnacentral:rRNA from 1 species
GACGAACGCUGGCGGCGUGCUUAACACAUGCAAGUCGAGCGGUAAGGCCCUUUCGGGGGUACGACGAGCGGCGAACGGGUGAGUAACACGUGGGUGACCUGCCCUCAGCUCUGGGAUAAGCCUGGGAAACCGGGUCUAAUACUGGAUAUGACUCCAUGACGCAUGUUGUGGGGUGGAAAGCCUUGUGCGGCUGAGGAUGGGCCCGCGGCCUAUCAGCUUGUUGGUGGGGUGANGGCCUACCAAGGCGACGACGGGUAGCCGGCCUGAGAGGGCGACCGGCCACACUGGGACUGAGACACGGCCCAGACUCCUACGGGAGGCAGCAGUGGGGAAUCUUGCGCAAUGGGCGAAAGCCUGACGCAGCGACGCCGCGUGAGGGAUGACGGCCUCGGUUGUAAC